rnacentral:rRNA from 1 species
GAUGAACGCUGGCGGCGUGCCUAAUACAUGCAAGUCGAACGCUGGAGCUCUAGCUUGCUAGAUCGAAGGAGUGGCGAACGGGUGAGUAAUACAUAAGCAACCUACCCAUGAAAACUGGGGAAAUCUUUGGAAACGGGGACUAAAACCGGAAAGAUAUUCUGAAGCCCUCUUUUGGUAAUUAAAGGUCAAAAAUACUGUUGGUUGGGCUUGUGUCGCAUUUGUUAGUUGGUGAGGUAACGGCCCAGCAAGACGAUGAUGCCUAGCCGGCAGGAGCGUGUGAACGACCAGAAUGGGACCGAGACCCAGACCAGUAUCCUACGGAACGGAGCAGUAGGGUAUGCUCGGCACUGGAGGCAACCCUGACCGCGCAACGCCGGGUGUGUGAAGCCGGCCUUCGGGUUGUACAGCUCUGUUGUAAGAGAAGAACUGUAGAUAGAGGAUAUCUAAGUGACGGUACCUAAUCAGAAAGCCACGGCUAACUACGUG